rnacentral:rRNA from 1 species
GAUGAACGCUGGCGGCGUGCCUAAUACAUGCAAGUCGAGCGAACGGACGAGAAGUUUGUUUUUCUUAUGUUAGCGGCGGAAGGGUGUGAAACACGUGGGUAUCAUACCCCUAAGCCUGGGAUAACUCCGCGUAACCGGAGCUAAUACCGGGGAUUAUUUUCAACCGCAUGGUUCAAAAGUGUAUGACGGUCUUGCUGUCAUUUAUAGAUGGAUCCGCGCGGCUUUAGCUAGUUGGUAGGGUAACGGCUUACCAAGGCGUCGAUGCUAAGCGGACGUGAGAGGGUGGUGGGCGACACUGGAACGGAGACACGGUCCAGCCGCCUACGGGAGGCAGCAGUAGGGAGGCUUCCGCAAUGGGCGAAAGCCUGACGGGGCAACGCCGCGUGAGUGAUGAAGGUGGUCUUAUCGUAGAACUCUGUUAUUGGGGAAGAACAUAUGCUGAAGUAUCUGUGCACGUCUUGACGGUACCUAAUCAGAAAGCCCCGGCUAACUACGUG